rnacentral:rRNA from 1 species
GUGCCAGCCGCCGCGGUAAUACAGAGGGUGCAAGCGUUGUUCGGAAUUAUUGGGCGUAAAGCGCGUGUAGGCGGCUUGGUAAGUCGGGUGUGAAAGCCCUCAGCUCAACUGAGGAAGUGCGCCCGAAACUGCUUUGCUUGAGUGUCGGAGAGGGUCGUGGAAUUCCCCAAGUAGAGGUGAAAUUCGUAGAUAUGGGGAGGAACACCGGUGGCGAAGGCGGCGACCUGGACGAUAACUGACGCUGAGACGCGAAAGCGUGGGGAGCAAACAGGAUUAGAUACCCUGGUAGUCC